rnacentral:rRNA from 1 species
CUUGGGCGUCAGCCUGAGUGGAGUCAUCCUUGGGAUACCACCCUGACAGUACUGGGGUUCUAACCGGCGGCCAUGAAUCUGGUCACGGGACAUUGUUAGGUGGGCAGUUUGACUGGGGCGGUCGCCGCCUAAAAAGUAACGGAGGCGCCCAAAAGUUCCCUCAGCGCGGUCGGAAAUCGCGCGAAGAGUGCAAAGGCAGAAGGGAGCUUGACUGCGACACAUACAGGUGGAGCAGGGACGAAAGUCGGGCUUAG